rnacentral:rRNA from 1 species
UGGCGGGACGGGUGGAGUAACGCGUGAGAAUCUGCCUUUAGGACGGGGACAACAGCUGGAAACGGCGGCUAAAACCCGAUGUGCCCUUCGGGGUGAAAUAUUUAUAGCCUGAAGAUGAGCUCGCGUCCGAUUAGCUAGUUGGCGGAGUAAAAGCCCACCAAGGCGACGAUCGGUAGCUGGUCUGAGAGGACGAUCAGCCACACUGGGACUGAGACACGGCCCAG